GUCUGAGUCAUGCUGACCUGUGUCAUGCCAUUCUGAGCCAUGGUAAGCUGUGCCCUGCCAUUCUGAGUCAUGCAGUGCCAUUCCAUGCCAUUCUGAGCCAUGGUAAGCUGUGCCAUGCCAUUCUGAGUCAUGCUGAGCAGUGCCCUCCUGUUCUGAGCCAUGGUAACCCAUGCCAUGCCAUUCUGAGCCAUGGUAACCCAUGCCAUGCCAUUCUGAGCCAUGCUGAGCUGUGCCCUGCCAUUCUGAGUCAUGCAGUGCCAUUCCAUGCCAUUCUGAGCCAGGGUAAGCUGUGCCCUGCCAUUCUGAGCCACGGUAAGCCAUGCCAUGCUGUUCUGAGCCAUGGUAAGCUGUGCCCUGCCAUUCUGAGCCAUGCGGUGCCAUUCCAUGCCAUGCCUCAGGGCAGGGAGAUGAGGAGGGGGGAUGUGAAACGAAGACCCACAUGGGGACCUGGGGGUCACCACCACCUCAAGGUGACUGCGCGGGUAGGCACUGCGGUCCCUUUGCCCUCCCUCCCCAUGCUGACCCCGGGCACACAGCGGAUAUUUCAUCUUAUUUGACUCCAGAUCAGUUUGUUGAAGCAUAGAAAUUUCAAACCGAGGCGCUGGGUGCCCGAGCUUGGAGCAAUUAAAGGUAACAUUUUCCCAAGCAGAGCGAAGCAGCCGAGCGCAUCCCGGCACCACGGAGAUGCGGGGGAGACUAAAGAGGAAAUCAAAACAACAACAAUAAAUAAACUUUUCUUAAGGCUUAAAGAAAAAUGAGACAGCGGAUGGGCUGAGCUGCCCCCCCACCCCCAUCCCCCACCUCCUCCUGUCCUGCCGGGACCUGCAGAUGGGACAUAUUUAAUAUGCAGAUUGACACAGCUCUGGCCGGCCGCCAGCGCCGGGUGUCGGUGGUGCCUCGUGUGCACCCAAAGGGACAGCUGCUUCCUGCCUCUGCCACCCGAACCCAGCGGCCAGCGAGCAAAGCAUUGGCGGGACGGAAACCUAUGGGGGUGACCCCCCCUUUCCACCCCCCCCACCCCAAUUGGUGGCCCUCAUGGCUGCAUGGCAGCAGCAGCUGGGCUGGGGGGUGGGGGGGGGUGAACCCCAACCCCAUCGCUGCAGCUCCCCAGCAUGCAAUCUGAUGGGCAUUGCGUUGGGGGGCAGACCCUGUGCCCCCCACCCUCUCCGUGCCAGCUUUGCGUGUUGUCAGCGUUUCCUUAUGCUGCUGCUCGUGAGGGGCCUCAUUAACAUAUCUAAUUGCCGCCUCUCUAUAGUGAUUUGUGCUGAUUGCUUAUUGGCAUUAGUUACUUUGGAAGGAAAAUUACCCUAAACAUCAAAUAAACCCCGGCAUUAGCCGUAUGGAAAGGGACACCAUGGAGAUAUGGGGAUGGCACCCCCAACCCCCCCCCUUAAGUGUGCUUUGGGGUAACAUACCCACCUCGGUGCCACCGCCAUGGGGAACCCCAUGUCCCGGUUUUGGGACCCACCCCCCCCAUUGUAACCCAUUAUGGUGGUGGCACCUGUGGGGAGGGGAGGCUCUGGGUUGCGAUGGGGGGGAAAUGGGGGGGGGAACAACCCAGAGUCAAAGCGGUUCCAGUUGGUGACAGCUGCGGCGGUGCCGGCUCCGGUUACGGUGACAUCAGCUCUACCUUCCC
ensembl:lncRNA